UACCGGCAGCUCGAGUGAUGGCCGAUUUUAUUGGGCCUAAAGCGUCCGUAGCUGGCCGCACAAGUCCAUCGGGAAAUCCACCCGCUCAACGGGUGGACGUCCGGUGGAAACUGUGUGGCUUGGGACCGGAAGGCGCGACGGGUACGUCCGGGGUAGGAGUGAAAUCCCGUAAUCCUGGACGGACCGCCGAUGGCGAAAGCACGUCGCGAGAACGGAUCCGACAGUGAGGGACGAAAGCUACGGUCUCGAACCGG
rnacentral:rRNA from 1 species